rnacentral:rRNA from 1 species
CCUACGGGAGGCAGCAGUAGGGAAUCUUUCACAAUGGGCGAAAGCCUGAUGGAGCAACGCCGCGUGCAGGAUGAAGGCCUUCGGGUUGUAAACUGCUUUUAUAAGCGAGAAAUAUGAUGGUAACUUAUGAAUAAGGAUCGGCUAACUACGUGCCAGCAGCCGCGGUCAUACGUAGGAUCCGAGCAUUAUCCGGAGUGACUGGGUGUAAAGAGUUGCGUAGGUGGGAUAAUAAGUAGCUAGUGAAAUCUGGUGGCUCAACCAUUCAGACUAUUAGCUAAACUGUUAAGCUCGAGACCGUUAGGGGUAACUGGAAUUUCUAGUGUAGGAGUGAAAUGCGUAGAUAUUAGAAGGAACACCAAUAGCGUAGGCAGGUUACUGGGACGGUUCUGACACUAAGGCACGAAAGCGUAGGGAGCAAACGGGAUUAGAUACCCUUGUAGUC